AGGUGGAUGGUGAGACCACAUCCAACAAAUAACAGGACAAAUGGGUCCGCCAGCUUAUCAACUAGACAACGACCGCCACUACUUUGUAAUUUUCCUCCAUUGCAUACUCCAACAGCCUAAUGGAAUCAUGUGAAAUAAUAUCAGUACUAACUUAAUGUCCAUGUUCAAUGAACCUACUUCCAAAAUACGGAGUACUACGUAUAUCCAAACUCAUGAAGAUGAUGCUAACAGAGCUGUACUGACCUUCCAUAUUAGUAAAUCAUUCAGUACUACCACUGAAUCUAGCAAGUGAUACCAGAAGCUCUGACAGAAGCACAUACCGAAAAUAAGGUGUCCCAAUUGCUGAAACCUGAAUGACACUAUAACAUACUGCUACUAGAGACCAAUUAACACAUCCUACCAAAAUAAAUUUAAAUUUAAGAAAUUUUUAUUUUACUUCUGUGUGAAAUUAUACGCCGGCCUAAGAAUCGCAGAUCCCCUUUUCACUGUUCAAAUCGUUUAGGUGAAGCCUCUCAACAGCACCAAUUAUUGCACGUUCCCCUGCUUUCUGUUCAUGUGUAUACUAAACCAUGGCACGUUGACUAACAAAGUUCCCAAUUUACGCAACAGAUUGGAAUAUACUAGUCGCAAGAAUCUUCACUUAAAACCGUUAGUAUCCACCGAUAAUACUGCAAAAAGGAAACAAAAUAGAAGCAGCAGCAGCAGCAGAUGAGUCGAGGAUGCUUUGCUUACCACAGCCGCCCUGGUCCUUGACGGCACCAACUGCGCCCUUCUUCCUCCAGUCGACGGACUCGGGCAGCUCGUCGUUGUCGGCGGCCUGGUACCUGGCGCUGAGCUUCCGCUCCCGGUCGGGCUUAGUGCGGGCGCCGAGGUAGGUGCUGCGGUACUCCUCGUUGGUGAGGUCGGCGAAGCGGUUGAGGCCGAGGCGGAAGGAGUGGACCCCGGCGUCGGCGGCGGCGUUGUGCUGGUCGAUGUAGCGGAGGUUGUCCCGGAACGCCUCGAAGCGGCGCUCCUCCUCGCCGAUGGCGUUGUACGUACUGCCGUGCUCCGCCAUCCACUCGGCGUACAUCCGCCGGACCUCCUCCUCGCUCCGCUCCCCGUAGGACACGAUCGACAUGUCCGCCGCCGCCGCCAGCGACACCAUCAGCAGCAGCGCCGCCGAGGCCGCCAGCAGAGCCAUGGAGGUCCUCAUCCCCGAGACCAGAGGUGCGUCACCGAGCAGGAAGAGAGGGGUAGCAGAUGGGAUGGAUUGGGUAGCAGCCGUGCUUUUCUUCUCCAUGGACGAUGGUAUCGGAGGUCGCUUUAUAGGAA
rnacentral:lncRNA from 1 species